GUUUUACAGUGGCAGUGUUACUCUUCUGUUUUAUGAAGGAAAGCUCAGGAGCUUGCACCGGUUAACAAUGAAACUGCCUUCGGUGCCCAGGUUCGCAGGCGAUGAGCAUCGAGCCAAUAGAUUUAAGGGUUCUGGAACUUCAAAUUUUCCAUGAACUUUGAGGAGAAACUGAUUGAAGUUGAUUAUAAUUUGAGCUAAUGCCAGAGACUAUUUGUCUUACUAUUUCGAUGAAUUUCGUUCCGAGGAGGGAGCUUCGGUUUUUGGUCUCGCGUCUCGAAUGUUUCCUAUAAGCUGGAAUUGCAGACGGCAGCCGGUGACGGCAUCCAGUCUCCGAUCCGUUCAGCACCGCAGUUUCCUCCUCAGCGAAUAAAUUGGAGGGUAGACAGCCGUGUGUUGAAAAUGGAAAACUCAAAGCAUCAAUGCGAAUUUGAACGCAAUGGAGUUAUGGCUCAUCAAAAAUUUCGAACUCUUGUCAAAGUAGUGUAUCUUUCAAGGCACAACAAGAGAUGUACAAAAGGGCAGAAUGACAUCCUUUCAGAUGGGAAUACAAUAGAGUGUCAGUCUUGGCGGGCUCCUACAUGUUACGAUGUUUGAGACAAAACAUUUGAAUCAAUGGAUUGAGUUUCUUCGGACUGAACAACUGUUUAAAGGUCGGGCAUCGAAGGGCUCAAGUUGGGGGAUGAUAAGCUUCAUGGGAAGAUGCAAGGCCUCCUUAAUUCCAUGAUGGAUUCAUCAAGGAACCAACCAGGGGUAACUCCAAGUCGAUCCUGUGGCCUCGAAGGAAGAAAUCAAGGAUGUCAAAGUGGAUUGGUCCCUUUAUAAGACUGUGAUAAUUCAAGGGGAAGUUUGUGGUGUCCUAGCUUUAGAAAUAAUAUAAAGAAAAGACAAAUUAAGAAGAACAGGAGGAGAACUGAGGAGUUUAAACAAGGAGAAAAAGGAGGAGGAGAACAAGAAUAGAAAAGGAAGAAGAAGAAAUGAAGCAAUCAUACAAUCUUAAAUAAAGAUCUGAAGUUACAAAUUUUAGUUGAGUAUUCACUGUCCUCAGAGAAGAUCUCAACCUUCUAAUAGCUGAAAAACCUUGAUAAAGCUAAUUCCUGAAUCAAACUAAUUCUGAGAAUGUAUUUUAAGCAUGUUUGAAAGAAACUCAAAAAGAAACACAAGCUUUUUCUAGUUCAUUGUCAUUGUAGUGUAAACUAGAGUGCAGUACAGUCAUACGAAUGGCACAAUGAUUGAACUGUAAGGUGCAAGGAACAAGGGUUCUGGUGGUUGCUGCUAAUAUUGCAGAGGUGGCUAGGGUUGUAAUAGGGGAUGGCAAGGCUACAAAAUAUGGGCCUGGUUGUCUGGUAUUCAUCUUGGAUGUGGGCCAGGUUUGUGAGAAAGGUGGUGUUUCUUUUUUAACAAAAUUGGGCCAUUAAUAGAACAGGCCCAAUGUUUUGACAAGAAUGCUAUGGGCUUUUCUCUAGUUCAAAAGCAGGCUCUCAUAAACAGGGGCUUUCACAGAUGGGCCUCGUAUCUGAAAAGGAAGUUCAAGGAUAUGGGUGAUCAGGCCCUUCCCUUGCACAACUCUGUUACUGAACAAGCCCACUAUCCUAGCCAAACUUUUAUAUGGGAUAUGUGGGUAUUCAGCAAGAUGUUAAUGAAAUACAAAAUCUCUCUCCAGAUCUCCAAAAUAAAUAUAGAAUGAAUCUACAUGCAGAGCAUAUUCAGGAUGAUUUUUAGUUUGGUUUUGAAAACAGUUCGUGAUGAAAAUGAUGAUAAUAAUUAAGUGUCAAAUUGUCCGUUGAUUCUGGUUUUGCAUAGGGAUUAGAGGCUGGUGUCUCCAGGAUAAAAAGAAGAAGCUGGAUUGGAUAGGAAAUCUGGUGUUUCAGGAUUUAAUUCUGAAAAAUGCAAGGGUCCUAAGUUGUAUGCACAUGGCAAGGUUGCUAUCAAUGGGUGUGAAUGAGGAAAUUAUAUGAAGCAAAGAGAGAGCAUUCCAGAGAGUUAUGAGGAGAGAUUCUGAAGGAGAGUUGAGCAUUGUGGAAGAUAAACUUGCUAAGAGGAAGGAUAUAGCAAGUGAUGGAGUUAGCAAAAGAAAGGAGGCUAGGAAAUGGGGAGAUUUUUCAGAUAACGAUAGUAAUAACAUCAAUGAUUUUGACUGUGGUGGUGGUUUGACGUUGGAUGAGAUUCCGGAGCAAUACGGAUAUGUUUUUGGUUCCUGUGAUGUUCUUGGGAACCUAUUGACUGUGAUGGUGGUUUUCUGUUGGAUGAGAUUUGGGAACAAUAUGGAUACGUUUUUGAUUCCUGUGAUGUUUCUCGGGGACCUAUCAUAUGUACAUCCUGCCCUGUUGGAAGGAUUGGAGGGGGUUCCUAUUUUGAGAACAAUGGUUUGGAUAAUAAACUGCAUGCAACGAUGGAAUUUUACCUACACCAGUGGAGGUGAUUUCUAGGAAGGACACAGAAGCCCAAGAUAUAAUGGAUAAACUGGAUUUAAAAAUGCGUGAUGCUGGUGGAAUUGAAGUGUGCUUUGAUAGGGGGCAAGUACAAAGUGAAGGAGGGUUAGAGGGAGCUAGCAAAUUUAAAGUUCUCGGUGAAUUAUGACAGAAAGGGAUUGAAAGGGUUUUCUUGGUUAGGUGUACUAUUCUUUUAUUUUUAUUUUUUAUUUUUAUUUUAAUUUCUUAUUUUGAUUUUUUUUUUUUGUUUCUGUUUUUUUUUUUCUUUCAGGUGGGCUUCUUGUCCCCUUAGGUUGUAACUUUUAAUGUGUUUAAGCAUACUCCAUUACUCCCCCAACCCAAAACUGUUCUAGCCAGAUUGAUUACUAUCGGACAAUUAUAAACUGACCUGGAGCAUAUUCCUACGAUUGUUAGAGAAAAUAGCUUUCCUGACUCCUGGAUUAUUUUAAGAAUGAUAAAAUAAAGCAUGGGGUUGCUUAUUUCAUUUCAUUUUCGCUUAGAUCUACAUCUUUGAGGUUAUAUCUGAUGUUUGGUUAAUGCAAUGGAAAAGGAAAUUUUUCUUAGUGGAUAAUCUAUUUGAUCUUCCUUGCUCCUUUAUUUAACUGCCAUCUUAAUUUCCCCUUAAUGUGUUUACUGGAUUAAUAAUUAUAUGAUUUGCUUCAAUUUUUUCAGCAUAAUCUUUCACCCUCUGCCAUUGCUUCUAGCUUUGGGAAGGUCAACAGCAGUAGAAAGCUUUCAGAAUACAAAGUUGAGGAUCUUGCAGCCACUCUUUUAAGAGAUUUUACAUACCAUAUAGCACAGAUCUCCUACCUUGUAGCUGCCCUCUUGGGGCUUAAGAAGAUCUAUUUUGGAGGUUCAUACAUACGCAGGAAUGGCUUCACAAUGGAUAAUAUUUCAUACGGGCUUAAUUACUGGUCCAAAGGUCAAAUGCAAGCUGUAUUUUUACAACAUGAAGGUUUCUUAGGAGCUGUAGGUGCACUACUGAAAUACAACAGGAUUAAUGCUGAUGUGUUGCUGCCACAUGUGUCUACCACAGAGCUUUCUUGUGUUUCAGGCACUGAAUACGAUAGUAGAGAAUUAUACGAAGGUGAAGAUAGUCUCAGCAGAGAGGUGCAGACGCUAAGAUCUGAGAUAGAUAUUAUACAAAAGGAGAAGGCAAUACUGAUUGAACAGUUGCACGCAAAAAAUUCAAGCAAUGGGUGAAAGUUCUGAAGGUGAACAUGUGAAUGUGUUCCUUUCCAAGCAGUUUGAAAGCUGAAGACAAUCAUGCCACAGCCAAACAGAUAGAAGUAUGCCUCACAAGUUUACUUUUUGCCAGUACUAGCAUGAGGAUUUGAUCACUGUUGGACUUAAAGAAUUCUCAUUUAUUUAUCUAUUUUGGGGGUUGGUUGGGUUCAGAAGUGGUUGAUGUGGUUGUGGUUUCCCUUGCGAUGCAUAUGCCAAACAAGUUUUGUGUUAUGAUUUUAUUUUUUUGCUACACAAAGUUCUCCAAGGUGUGAAAUUAAUUGGUUGUACCGGUUUUGUGCUCACCCCAUAUUGUUUUCAAAGAAAUUUGUAAAAAGUAUAGGUUUAUUUCUGUAAAUAAACACUUUGUUAAUUUUUUUACUUCUAUUCUGAUAAAUAUAGGGGCAUAUCACUUUGAGGAACACGAUUGUUCCAUCUUGAUACGUUGGCCAAAGUUUUUGAA